AUAAAAACAAAUUUAAGUAAGAAUUUUUUUUUAAAACUGGAUAAAGACAAUAAAAGGAACAAUACAAAUUUGUAAAUGAUUUCUUGAUUGUGAUUUUGCAUUUGAAUUGUAACAAAAUUUUAAUCAAGAGCCGAUUGAAAAUUUCUUCGGCUCUAUUCGUAGUCAUGGAAGUAGGAAUAUAAAACAAACAUCAGCUAUGUUUAUUUAAUCGUUUAAAGCACUGUUAUAACACGAUUAUAAUCGAAAUUCCAGAUGUUGAAAUGCCCAGUUCUAAUUCUCAAGUGACUUCUGGAACUUCUGAAAAAAGAGGUAUCUUGUUGGAUGGAUGAACAUUUUACAAUACAACUACGGAGACAGCACGUAGUGGCGUUCUCUUACAACUGAAAACUAAGAAAAAUCCAUAAAAAAACCGUAUAUUCAUUUUUUAAGCUUAAAAAAAUAUUUGUAAUAAAUGAACCAAAA